rnacentral:rRNA from 1 species
AAUCAACGCUGGCGGCGUGCCUCAGACAUGCAAGUCGAACGAUUAAAGCUCUCUUCGGGGAGUGUAUAGAGUGGCGCACGGGUGAGUAACACGUAAGUAAUCUACCUUCGAGUGGGGAAUAACGUCCGGAAACGGACGCUAAUACCGCAUAAUGCAGCGGCAUCGCAAGAUGACAAUUGUUAAAGAUUUAUAGCUUGAAGAGGAGCUUGCGGCAGAUUAGCUAGUUGGUAAGGUAAUGGCUUACAAAGGCUACGAUCUGUAACCGGUCUAAGAGGACGGUCGGUCACACUGACACUGAAUAACGGGUCAGACUCCUACGGGAGGCAGCAGUCGGGAAUUUUGGGCAAUGGGCGAAAGCCUGACCCAGCAACGCCGCGUGAAGGAUGAAGUAUUUCGGUAUGUAAACUUCGAAAGAAUAGGAAGAAUAAAUGACGGUACUAUUUAUAAGGUCCGGCUAACUACGUGCCAGCAGCCGCCGUAACAC